ensembl:misc_RNA Y_RNA Y RNA
GGCUGGCCUGAUGGUAGUAAGUUAUCUCAACUGAUUAUUCAGUCAGUUACAGAUGGAACUCCUUGUUCCACUCUUUCCUCCCCUUCUACUACUACACUUGACUAGUCUUUA